rnacentral:misc_RNA from 1 species
AAGAUCAUCAUAGAUUAUUAAUGUGUUGAAUAUUGCCAUGGCACAUCCAGAAUUUGGAGUCAGAAAUUGCAGAGGAAAUGGAAGUAUGUUCCAUAAUGCGUAGGGGUGUGAAAAUGGCUAGAAUUGAUUCUGAUUGCCUUAGUUUUAAUCUAGGGAUCACACAACAUUCUCAAGAAUGCUACCUUUGCACAUAUUUAGUGUUGUUUAAAAUGUUAAACUGAUGAACUCAAAUCAUCUUUCUGAUGGUGGAAGACACCCUCUACUAGCAUGUGACAUAUGAAUUUCCCUGUUUGUUGCCUGGUUCUAGCUUUUUCUUAUCUAUGUUACGUUUUUCCUUUCUGUAGGAUGGCCAGAGGAGUUCAUUUA